UGUUUAUUUUUCAGAACUUAGCUAUUUUGAUAUUUGCAGAUUCUCAGUGAGUAUGGAUCUCAGAAUUUGUUCUUGCAAUUCACACUGAGUGAAAUAAGACUGAGCUGCUGUAAUUUUUCUUUUGAGUAUAUUUUACCUUAUAGCUGCAAAAUAGAAAAGUAAUUACUUAUAAAUAAGUAAUUUACUUAGCAAGGUUUCUGAUCAUGUUAUGGUAGCUUCUAUUAAAUUCUCAAAUAAUUGCAGGGAAGUUCCCAACUUAAAGCAAACACUUCAUUAGGUUCAAGAUAAUUAAAAAACACAACCAGUAUAGGCCUGCAGUCAUGAUCUCUCUUUGCCUCCCUCUCCCUCUCUCUUCCUCUCCCUCCUUGUAACUCUGUCUCAUUUGCCAUUGUAAGUGCAGUACUCUCUAAACAUAUCUCAGGAAAUAAAACUGCCUUGUAGGAAAUUUUAAAAACCCACACACAAGAAUGAUAUUGAGGAAAUUGACAUAAGGUUAUAGUGACAUUUCACUAUCCUGAGCCAUUACUAUCCUAGGUUGUCCCUCUACUUCAUAUAUUGCCAUCUAGUAAUAGGCAAUUUGCCCGGCUGAAAUGUUGAUAAAAUUCUAGUGUUUUGUUUUUUAGUUGAAUAACAAAAUCAUCAACAGGAUGCUUUUCCAAAAUCCCCUUUGUUACCCAGGGAGAAAACAAUGACAUGGCAGUGUUUUUAAUGUUUCAAUAGUAUGAUUAUCUUUGGUCGUUUCUGGGAAAUGGGAGGCUACAAACAUUAGGAAUUUCCCUGUUAACUAUUUAAAAUAUAAAGAUUCCAAUGUGCAAGAGGGAGCAAACCAGGUGCCCAGGCCACUAACAAUGAUCAAGAAAAAUUUGUUUUGGGGGAAGCAGGCUUUUAAUGGUUCCUGGCAGUGUUAUCUGACUCUAGAUGGAGGUUUUCCAGCCCAGAAUUCUCUUCUGGGUAGUCAGUAAAAAUAAGAGUCCAGCCAGCCUGCUUUUACCUUAGUGGAUGGAAAGGGAAGGAGCUCAGAAACUGGUUUUAAUUUGGAAACCAUGAGCAGCUUUUCCUUCACCAUUUUGUGAUAUCACUGGCUGCCCAGCCUCAGAGAGAUGGGCUCCCUACAGACAGCGUCUGCCCUCGUCGGCACCUCUCGCAUGUUGGGUAGUGUCGCGUCAGAUCUAGGAUAGGGCUUCUCUCAGCGGGGCUUGGUACCGUUGCUUGUUCGUGGACCUCACUUGGCUGCACUGAUGAUGUACAAAACUCUGAAUGCCAGUUGGCUUUUGAGUGGAUAAUUGUGGCAGUGAGAGAGCAGUGACAUUGGAAACAACCAUUGCCCAUUUGAAUUACUUAAAACACCACCAUGAAAAGAAAUACCUGUGAUUUGCUUUCUCGGAGCAAGAGUGCCUCUGAGGAAGCACUGCAUCCCAGGAACGAAGAGGAAGACACUCUGCGAGGCAUGGAGCCCUAUCUUGUGCGGAGGCUUUCUUGCCGCAAUGUCCAGCUUCCCCCACUCGUCUUCAGACAGUUGGAACAAGCUGACUUGAAAAGUGAAUCAGAGAAGAUUCAGAGACCCACCAGCCUCCCCUUGAAGGGCCUGCCCCUGAUUGCCAUCACUUCCGCAGACUCCAGUGGGUGAGUGCCUUUGGGCAACCUUUCCCAUUUUGUAUUUUAGAUGAUGGUUGUGGUUUGUGGUCUUUUGAGAUUUUUGUGGCUUUUGAGUUUGUGGUCUUUUGAGAUUUUGAUUUGAGUGGGAGGAAAAUGGGAAUCCUAGAGCCAAGAGAAAGAAGGGUGAUUUUUCUCAGUUAAUGUCUCUAUUUCUGCAGGAGAUGUUUUAGCCAAAUUGUUUUAUAAGGAGUUGUUGAAAAGGUAUUGGCGAAUGAUAAUCAUCUGGGGAAGGGGGAUUAGACUUGGAAAAUUAAUAUCGGUCAUAUGUGAUUUAAUAGAAAAAUUCUUAACAG